GAUGAACGCUGGCGGCGUGCCUAAUACAUGCACGUCGAGCGAGCGACGGGCGGGUGAGUAAUGUCAGGGCAACUGCCUGAUGGAGGGGGAUAACUACGGGCAACGGUAACUAAUCCCGCAUACGAUCAGCUGGGCCAAGAUGGGAUUAGCUAGUAGGUGGGGUACUGGCUCCCCUAGGCGACGAUCCCUAGCUGGGCUGAGAGGAUGACCAGCCACACGGGAACGGUGACACGGUCCAGACUCCUACGGGAGGCAGCAGUGGGGAAUAUGGGACAAUGGGCGCAAUCCUGAUGCAGCCAUGCCGCGUGUAUGAAGAAGGCCUUCGGGUUGUAAAGUACUUUCAGCGGGGAGGCGUUACCCGCAGAAUAAGCACCGGCUAACGCCGUGCCAGCAGCCGCGGUAAUAC
rnacentral:rRNA from 1 species